AUACGUAGGGGGCGAGCGUUGUCCGGAAUGAUUGGGCGUAAAGGGCGCGUAGGCGGCGCGGUAAGUCUGGAGUGAAAGUCCUGCUUUCAAGGUGGGAAUUGCUUUGGAUACUGGGGGGCUUGAGUGCAGGAGAGGUUAUCGGAAUUCCCGGUGUAGCGGUGAAAUGCGUAGAGAUCGGGAGGAACACCAGUGGCGAAGGCGGGUAACUGGACUGCAACUGACGCUGAGGCGCGAAAGUGUGGGGAGCAAACAGGAUUAGAUACCCUGGUAGUCCACACUGUAAACGAUGAAUGCUAGGUGUAAGAGGUAUCGACCCCUUUUGUGCCGGAGUCAACACAAUAAGCAUUCCGCCUGGGGAGUACGGCCGCAAGGUUGAAACUCAAAUGAAUUGACGGGG
rnacentral:rRNA from 1 species